CUACGGGUCGCACCAGUGAGGAAUUUUGCGCAAUGGGGGAAACCCUGACGCAGCAACGCCGCGUGGGUGAAGAAGGCCUUCGGGUCGUAAAGCCCUGUCAGGUGGGAAAAAGGGCCACCGCUGAAUAGGCGGUGGAUUUGAUGGUACCGCCAGAGGAAGCACCGGCUAACUCCGUGCCAGCAGCCGCGGUAAUACGGAGGGUGCAAGCGUUGUUCGGAAUUAUUGGGCGUAAAGAGCGUGUAGGCGGUUUGGCAAGUCAGAUGUGAAAUCCUUCCGCUCAGCGGGAGAAGUGCAUUUGAAACUGCCAUUCUAGAGUAUGGGAGAGGAGAGUGGAAUUCCCAGUGUAGAGGUGAAAUUCGUAGAUAUUGGGAGGAACACCCGUGGCGAAGGCGACUCUCUGGACCAAUACUGACGCUGAGACGCGAAAGCGUGGGGAGCAAACAGGAUUAGAUACCCCCGUAGUC
rnacentral:rRNA from 1 species